AGAGGGAGGUGGAAAGUUUAAAUCAAACGGCAGAGGAUCUUUACAAAACGACGACGUCUGAUCAUCAUCGCCACCGCCGCCGCCAAUGCAAUUACCAUCCACCACAGAAGACGACGAAUCACAAUCACUAUGACCUUCCCCCAUCGGAAUCCGGCGGGGAAUUUCAAUCCGCGGUUGCAUCGUUUUACACAAUGCACGCGCAUCACUCGAUGAUUCCACCGUGCUACUCAUACUACUCGACGCCGGCCUUGAUUGUUGAAGAUUUUCAAAUUGAUUCUCCCCAUAAGGAGGCAAUACUGGGAAGUUAGUUUUUGCUUUAGCUCCAUGAAAAGACCUUGCAGCAGUAUCAUAAGCUCGUGCAGCACCCUCCGCUGUAUCAAACGUUCCCAGCCAUUUACGAGCUUUUUUCACCGGAUCCCUUAUCUCAGCAGAAAAUCGACCCCAUGGCCGUUUACGUACACCCCUAUAACGAGGUGGCUCAAUCACCGACUGUUGGAAAACAACGGAUCUUGAUCCAUUUAUCUCCGGAUUUUUCCGACGGGGCAUGGCCGGUAAUUUAAAAUAGGAGAUGGGGUUGUCGGAAAUUGUCGCCGGCGGCCACUAAAUUGAUCGGAAUUGUGUAAA
rnacentral:misc_RNA from 1 species